AAUGUCUCUGCCUGUAUGCUGGAGAGAGACUUUGCCUGAGCCUUCAAUGGACUAACUUGAGUUAUAUGGUCCAGUGCCCAUAUAAAAAGGCAAGAAUCUCACACGUGCCAAGAUCUAGCCCUGCUAAAAAGUCCAUUUUGGGAGUGAGGUAAUGUGCAAGAAUGGAAUUCUGCAGUGACUCUGGGC
rnacentral:lncRNA from 1 species